UUCAGUUAUGGUUCCUUAGAUCGUUAACAGUUACUUGGAUAACUGUGGUAAUUCUAGAGCUAAUACAUGCAAUUAAAACAUGAACCUUAUGGGACAUGUGCUUUUAUUAGGCUAAAACCAAGCGAUCGCAAGAUCGUUAUAUUGGUUGAACUCUAGAUAACAUGCAGAUCGUAUGGUCUUGUACCGACGACAGAUCUUUCAAAUGUCUGCCCUAUCAACUUUUGAUGGUAGUAUCUAGGACUACCAUGGUUGCAACGGGUAACGGGGAAUCAGGGUUCGAUUCCGGAGAGGGAGCCUGAGAAACGGCUACCACAUCUAAGGAAGGCAGCAGGCGCGUAAAUUACCCACUCCCAGCUCGGGGAGGUAGUGACGAAAAAUAACAAUACAGGACUCAUAUCCGAGGCCCUGUAAUUGGAAUGAGUACACUUUAAAUCCUUUAACAAGGACCAAUUGGAGGGCAAGUCUGGUGCCAGCAGCCGCGGUAAUUCCAGCUCCAAUAGCGUAUAUUAAAGUUGUUGCGGUUAAAACGUUCGUAGUUGAACUUGUGCUUCAUACGGGUAGUACAACUUACAAUUGUGGUUAGUACUAUACCUUUAUGUAUGUAAGCGUAUUACCGGUGGAGUUCUUAUAUGUGAUUAAAUACUUGUAUUUUUUCAUAUGUUCCUCCUAUUUAAAAACCUGCACUAGUGCUCUUAAACGAGUGUUAUUGUGGGCCGGUACUAUUACUUUGAACAAAUUAGAGUGCUUAAAGCAGGCUUCAAAUGCCUGAAUAUUCUGUGCAUGGGAUAAUGAAAUAAGACCUCUGUUCUGCUUUCAUUGGUUUUCAGAUCAGGAGGUAAUGAUUAAUAGAAGCAGUUUGGGGGCAUUAGUAUUACGACGCGAGAGGUGAAAUUCUUGGACCGUCGUAAGACUAACUUAAGCGAAAGCAUUUGCCAAAGAUGUUUUCAUUAAUCAAGAACGAAAGUUAGAGGUUCGAAGGCGAUCAGAUACCGCCCUAGUUCUAACCAUAAACGAUGCCAGCUAGCAAUUGGGUGUAGCUACUUUUAUGGCUCUCUCAAUCGCUUCCCGGGAAACCAAAGCUUUUGGGCUCCGGGGGAAAGUAUGGUUGCCAAGCUGAAACUUAAAGGAAUUGACGGAAGGGCACCACCACGAGUGGAGCCUGCGGCUUAAUUUGACUCAUCACGGGAAAACUUACCAGGUCCGAACAUAAGUGUGUAAGACAGAUUGAUAGCUCUCUCUCGAAUCUAUGGGUGGUGGUGCAUGGCCGUUCUUAGGUCGUGGAGUGAUUUGUCUGGUUAAUUCCGAUAACGAAACGAGACUCAAAUAUAUUAAAUAGAUGUCUUCAGGA
rfam:Drosophila sechellia strain Rob3c scaffold_10699 genomic scaffold, whole genome shotgun sequence.